rnacentral:rRNA from 1 species
CGGAGCCACGAGUGGUAAUCAUUUUUAUUGGGCCUAAAGCGUUCGUAGCUGAUUUAGCAACUCUUUUGUGAAAUUGUCGAGCUUAACUCAACAAUGUGCAAGAGAAACUACUAAACUAGAGACCGGGAAGAGAUAGGAGUAUUCUUUGGGAAGCGGUUAAAUGUUUUAAUCCUUAGAAGACUACCAAUGGCGAAGGCACCUAUCUAGAACGGGUCUGACAGUGAGGAACGAAAGCCAGGGGAGCGAACCGGAUUAGAUACCCGAGUAGUCC